GAUAGCGGCCAUAGCAGUGGGGAAACACCUGGACUCAUUCCGAACCCAGCAGUUAAGCCCACUCACGUAACGCUCGGUACUGAGUUGCGGGAGCACUCGGGAACAGCGAUACGCUGCUAUCC
rfam:Methanofollis liminatans DSM 4140 chromosome, whole genome shotgun sequence.